UUUUUUUUUUCACCUUUCAGAAUCUUUUACUACUUUGGUCUGUCCUUUGUUCUUGAAUAAAAAUUGUCAGCUGCAUUGUCUAGAAUCCAGUUUUGUUUUUUUGAGAAUCAUCGGGGAGGAGUCCCUCCACCUGGUCUGAUUUGUGUGCAAAUAUACAUUUCCCAGUCAAUCACUGACAACUCGUUCCAUUAUGUGGAAGGGGGUAGCAUGGCAAAAAUCUAACACUAAUCUAACUGGCCCAGGAAGGCAGGAACAAAAUAGCUGCUAAUCUUGGUCGCGUCAAAUCCCUGGUAGAAGUAUUAACCAGCCAACGGAUCAGAUUCACGCACACUCGCGCAGGCUCCACCGAACGGAUCACAGGAGGACAUCGAACGGCUGCCGUUGCACCAUCAGCAAGCCGUCCACUCCGGAGCACAGCUCGCCAGUCGCCGCCACUACGCCUCCGUCCCCCGAUCAGCCAUGGCGGGCGAAACCCUCGCGGCCUCCCCCGCCUCGUCACCAAAACCCUAAACCCUAUCCCACCGCCGAACCCCGCCACCCCAGUCCACACGUCCGGCGCGGCGGCCAUGGGGCCCCGUGGAGACGGCGUCCGCUUCAUCUCCUCCGGCGUCAAGCUCCCGCGCGCCUCCCCGGCCCCUGCCCCGGCGCACGCCCUGCUCUCCGCCGCGCUCCCCCCGUUCGCUCACAUCGGCCGGGCCAUCGACGCCGCGGCCCGCCGCGUCGCCGCGUCGUUCCCCCGCGUCCCAGCCGCGCGGGCCGAGACGCCGGCCGCGCCCUUGCCGCGGAGGCACGGGAAGGACGGCGGCGGGGCCGGGGGCGAGGAGCGAGUCCUAAUCAGCGAGGUGGCGGUGCGGGGAAAGGACGGGGAGCCCCUGGAGAGGCCCGAGCUGGAGGAGGCGGCCGCCGCGGCCCUGCGAGCGUGCCGCCCCAACGCGGCGCUCACGGUGAGGGAGGUGCAGGAGGAUGUGCACCGCGUGGUGGAGAGUGGCCUCUUCCGCUCCUGCAUGCCCGUUGCUGUCGACACCCGCGACGGCAUUCGCCUUGUCUUUGAGGUCAGGAUUUUGCCUGUUCCCCAAUCCCUUUCCCGUGGCUUAUUUUUGGAGUUGAAGGUUGAGAAAUUUGGGAUGUUCUGUUGUUUAGGUGGAGCCGAACCAGGACUUCCACGGGCUGGUCUGUGAGGGUGCCAACAUGCUGCCUUCCAAGUUCCUAGAUGACUCAUUUCGCGACCGCCAUGGUACUUGUUCUCAUGUUUAAGAGUCUGUUACGUUAGAUAUGGUUAUUCAUUUGUGUAACCGAGUGUGUUGAUUUACUUUGCACAGUGCUACAUGAACCAACACUGCAUGUUAGCUUUAGUCCAUUUAAGUAUGUAAAUUUGUCUGGCACAGAGAUAUCUAGAAUGCAUAAGAGAAUUACCCAUACCAUGCCUAUUUUAUCUAAUGUAACAUUGGUCUAAAAUGAGGCCUGCAUUGAAAAAUUAUCACCGUUUUUGGUCCUAUUAUGAUACCAAUAGAUUGAACUGUGCAGCAUAAUUAUGCGACAGUUACAAUGCAAAAGCGACAUGGCAAAUAAAGCACGCCUUUUAUGUGGACUCACAUGGUUCUUGUUGUUGGUUUAGUUUUAAUCUUAAAGCCUGUUUUUCUACACUGCAUAGAAAUCUAUGGUAAAAUAGGUCCAUCUACAGUGACAUAAUCUCUCAGUAUCCUUUCUUUAUAGAGAAAUGAUGUAAAACUACUGAAUUAGGAACUGAGUUGGCCUCAGUUUGGUGGGAGAGUGUACAAUUCUAUAGCCUUGGUCAAGUCCUCUUCACUUGAGUGUGGGGUGUAUAUCUCUUCUUUAACAGAACAUGUAGUUCCUCCUGCAUGUUUCUUCAAAUAUUAUUUCUCUAAAAGAAAGAGAAACGAUUUUUUUAAUAUUAGUCUAUUAUUAUUAGCUUCUAAGAUUUGUUCUUGAGACCUAUGAUUGGUGUUUGCAUUAUGCAGGGAAAAUAAUCAACAUAAGACAUUUAGAUCAAGUGAUUAAGUCCAUUAACGGAUGGUAUCAGGAGCGCGGUCUUACUGGCAUGGUAGGUGGGGAAGCAAUUAAUAUAUAUUCAUAUUCUACCAUUUUGCAUAAUUUUUUGUUUUCUUCUAUUUGGUGAUGUAUUGCAAUUUGUUUGAGAACAUUGCUGAACAAUAGGCAUCUGCUGCACUUGUCUUAAGGAACAAGUGUAUAUGCUUUAUAUAUUCUUGGCUUCUAGUUCCACAGGACUUGAGUUGUCAAUUUCUGUUUUUGUAAUGCACUUGCCAUCAUUUACAUCUCACCUGUCACCAGUUCCAAAUUGGUAGGGCAUACAACAUAGUUCUGUUUUACCUGUUGUUUCUUACUUCCUGGUUCCUGCUAUGUAUAUGGAACUUAAUUGUCACGCCAUGCUUUUGAUUCUACAUGUUCUUAAUUGUAACAAACUAGAAACGUGAUGCGAGAAAAAAAUUGAAUGUGUGGGAGUUGCUAACAUGUUAGUUGUGUCUAGCAAACAUUUAGGUGCGUACCAUUUUUUGGUAAGAAGCAAUAUUAUUUACAAUUUUAGCUAGUAAAGUAAUAUUUUAUUGCUAUAUAAUGGUAAAUCAACGAAGGCACUUGAUUUUAUUUCAGGUUUCGUAUGCUGAGAUCCUUUCUGGAGGAAUUCUAAGGCUACAAGUUUCUGAAGCUGAGGUUAAUAAUAUCAAUAUUCGCUUUCUGGAUAGAAGAACGUGAGAAUCAUAGCUUGACUUAGUGAGAUCCUCUUUGCUGAUUAGUGUUUUAUGGCCAUUUAUUACUCUGAUCAUUUGUAUCUUCUUUCUCUUUCCAUCUCUCUAUCAUUAGUGGUGAACCAACUAUCGGGAAAACAAAACCAGAGACCAUACUUCAGCAGCUUACCACCAAGAAGGGUCAGGUCAGAGCAUUUUAGAAGUUACUUGCUGUAUUUGUAUUUUAAUCUACUUUGCACGUAUUAUUGAUGAUAUCCAUGAUUUUAUGAACAGUUCUCAUUUCACACUUUGGUAUACCGGUAUAUGGUGAUAUACGUUUAAGUAUUUUUAGUGUGGUGUGGAAGUUGCUAUGCAAAUACCAUGACCAAAACUACAAGUACUAUUGUUAAAAGGAUGUCAACAAUAUACCAAAUGUGGUUGGAAUCGGAUCAUGCUUGCAUAGUUUUUGUGUAUGUAGGCUUGGUUUGAUGUCAAUUUGAAACUGCUGUCCUCUAGCCUUGAUGCUGUAAUGGACAUCUUAUCUAUCUUAUUAAUGAUGAAAAUAGGCAUACAAUAGAGCACAAGUGAAAAGAGAUGUUGAAACAAUACUCACUAUGGGAAUUAUGGAGGAUGUCACAAUAAUUCCGCAGCCUGUGGGAGGUGAAUUAUAAUUCCCAUUUUCUUGAAGCUGGUCUUCAUUUUCUCAAGUACCUGUGCUCUUAUCUAUUGUCUUGUGCAGAUUCUAAUAAGGUGGAUCUUGUCAUGAAUCUUGUUGAACGCAAAUCCGGUGGUUUCUCUGCUGGUGGUGGCAUUUCGAGUGGGUUAGUGCUGUUUAUUUAGUGAACCCCAUUGAGUGAAUUGUAUGCUUUCAUAAUGUAUGUUUCUUAACCUGUGAGGCGCUGAGGUAGUUUGUUAUGUACUGGAUUUCGAAUACCAUAUGUGGCCUAUAUACAAAACAAUUGUCUUAACAUAUACCAUGCUAUUUUCUGUGCAGGAUAACAAAUGGGCCUCUUUCUGGAUUAAUAGGCAGGUCAGUAGAUUCCUCAGUAAAUACUAUCUUAUUUCCUCUGGGAUGGAAUAUGGCUUGUUUAAUUAUGUAAUAAUAUUGCCAUGGUAAUACUUUGAAGAUUUAAUCGUUCUUAGCUCCAACUGAGCUUCGAGCCUUUCUAAAAUAACUAACAAUUCCAAGAAGCAACCUGACAUAUAACCUGUUCAUAAUUAACUAUAGGCUUAAAAUGUAUCAGUUAGAAAGGGGCUCGUGCUCAUGAUAUGAGCUAUUCUCAAGCCCCGCCAUCACAUUGUAGGGCUAAAGUUAAGAUGACCCUCCAAAGCCCAAGCAUGACUUUAGGAACUGGCAAUUUUAGAUGUUGGUUUUAAUUUUGUUAUUUAUCUUAUACCUGCCUGGUUAAACUAGGAAGUUCUAAAUCUUUUUUUUUUACCUCACACUGGAGUUUUUAAACAGCUUUGCAUAUUCUCAGCGGAAUGUUUUUGGGAGGAACAAGAAGUUGAAUCUCUCACUAGAGAGGGGCCAAAUAGAUUCUAUAUUUCGUUUAAACUACACUGACCCUUGGAUUGACGGUGACAAUAAGAGGACCUCCAGAACUGUCAUGGUUCAGGUAUUUACCUUUAGUAUGAUAUCAUCACAGUUCGAUGAUUCAAUCAGCUGUGAAUCAUGUGCAUGCGCUUACGAUAGUUUUCCUUGUCAGAACUCUAGGACCCCUGGAACACUUAUCCAUGGUGGGGAGCAUCCUGACCAUAGUCCUAUUACAAUUGGACGGGUAACUGCUGGCAUUGAAUAUAGCCGACCUUUCAGGCCUAAAUGGAGUGGUACUCUUGGAUUGAUAUUUCAGGUAAACACGUGAAUAAGAGUUGUAGUAAUCGAUUCGCCUUUUCCCCUGCAUGUAGGCCUAUAUAGUUGUAUUAAUAGUUGUAGCAGAAGUCUAAAGCAGACAUAGUUGUGUACUCAUGUGAUGUUGGUACUAACUUUGUUGAUUGAACCGUAUAAAUAUGCAUUACUGUUUCCUUUGCUUACCUCUCCCUAAAAAUAGCCUAACUGCUUUCUGUUGACACUUUCUAUGCAGCAUGCUGGUGCUCGUGAUGAUAAAGGCAAUCCUAUGAUCAGAGAUUUCUAUAACAGCCAAUUAACUGCAAGGUCUCAAUCCUGAUUUCUCAUUCAACUUUAGUUUGUACCACAAGUAUAUACUCCCUCCGUUCCUAAAUAUAAGUCUUUUUAGAGAUUCUAAUAUGGACUACGUACGGAGCAAAAUGAGUGAAUCUACACUCUAAAUAUGUCUAUAUACAUUCAUAUGUACUUCAUAUAGAAAUCUCUAAGAAGACUUAUAUUUAGGGACGGGGGGAGUACAUAACAGUGUACAUCAUGAAUACAGUUGUCAGAUUAAGUUACUAUUCGAAAUGUGAUAGUCCUGUCAUGAAAAUGCAGCGGAAAUCCUUAUGAUGAUACAUUACUUGCUAAGCUUGAAAGUGUCUACACAGACUCUGGAGAUCAUAGCUCUACAAUGGUUAGUAUUUAUCCUCUGCAUUUUACUAUUUUCUAAUCUUGCUGUGACAAUUUCUUAUAUCAUACUGUUGUUACCGCUUCCAGUUUGUUUUCAACGUCGAGCAAGGUCUGCCCAUUCUUCCAGAGUGGCUUAGUUUCAACAGAGUGACAGCCCGUUUGAGGCAGAGCUAUGAAAUUGGUCCUGCCCGACUUCUUCUAAGGUAUGUUUUAGGCAUGCCGUGCCAUACCAAUAGUGAAAACAUCAGUUUAACCUGGAGGUCUGCACACAGUGGACUUACAUUUUUGUUGUUAUGUUACCUAAUAUAUCAUUUUAUUCUAUGAUCUAGUGCUUCUGGAGGUCAUGUGGAGGGAAACUUUUCGCCUCAUGAAGCAUUUGCAAUUGGUGGGACAAACAGUGUAAGAGGAUAUGAAGAAGGUGCUGUUGGUUCUGGCCGCUCAUAUGCAGUUGGUAGUGGUGAAGUCUCUUGCCGCUUGGUAAGCCUUGCCUCUCUUGUUCGCAAUAUUAAGUUAUUUGUUUAAACUGAACAUCCACAUGAAACACCUCUACAUAAAAUGCGCACAACCAUAUGCUAUUCUCAUAAAGAACUAGUCAGCAACAUCAAUGCACACAUAUCAAGAGAAAACUAAAAAUGCAGUAUUUGAUUUAGUUUGCAAUUUUAGGAUGAAGUCUUAUUUGCUCGUAUUUAAGAAUAUAACAGUAAAUCGAUUAUUUUGUUUGAGACAAAAAUAAAUAAAUACACAUGCAGUUCAGUGUAACAUCUCCAAUCCAUGUUGGACACAUAUUAACUGCAUUAUGCAGGCGUGCAACCUGGUACCUGUGCAUGCAUGGCCCUUCUUAGCCACGCAUAGGAGGGUACUAUUUUGAAUACCCAAUGAUUUGUUACUUGCCAAUGACAAACUAUUUUGAAUUAUUUCUGUACUUGUGUUAAUGAUCCAAUGAUUUGUUACUUGUCAUACAUAAUUUCAUGGCUGGAAAAUUAGUACUUUAAUCGUGGACUAUUCAUGAUUGCUACCUGCCAUGACAUCAAAUGCAUUUGACUAGUUCUUGUGCUACUCUGAUGUAUGUUAUGCUUGCCGUAUGAUUUGCAUUAAAGAAAAAAAAAUCAGCCUGCUUUGAUUACUCACAGUUGUCAUUUUCUGUGUAGUUUGGUCCGUUGGAAGGUGUGGUCUUUGGUGACUAUGGUAGUGAUCUUGGCUCUGGUCCAACAGUUCCUGGUAAGUCAUGUUGUACUCACAUUUUGCUGUGAUAUAUAAUUUUUAGUCCAUAUCUGUGGUCUCGAAAGCAGGCUGGCUCUGUACAUGUACUCAAAUUCUCUAAGCCUUGUUUUGGGUUUGAGGAAAAAUCUCCAAUUCAGAUUCAGAAUGAAGAAAACUAUUGCUUUUGGCCCCUAUUCUAGUUAGAAGAUUUUGCUGCUGCUGGAACAGGCCUGACAGGGGUUCCACCUCCUGAUUUUGUAGAGCAAUUUUGAUGUAUCACCUCUUCUCAUUUGCGCAAUCUCUCGUCGUUUUUUUUAGGUGACCCAGCAGGAGCACGUGGGAAGCCAGGAAGCGGUUGCGGGUAUGGUGUUGGCAUCCGUGUGGACUCCCCGCUGGGACCUUUGAGACUUGAAUACGCUUUCAAUGACAAACAAGCAAGACGAUUUCACUUUGGGGUUGGGCACAGAAAUUAAACUGUCGAGGUGUCUGUUAUUUGAUCUCUGUCAGCCUUAAUCUGAUUUACUGAGCAUGCACUGUUAGGGAUAGUGCUGUCGUCUUUGCGAUGUCGAUAGAAGUUUCCGCAAAGCAAAUUUUGUGUAGCCCAGAUUGCCUGAACAUAUACAGUUCUCCAUUCCUUCAAUCCUGUGUAAACUUUGCUGGAAGCCACAACCAGAGAAGGUUCUCCAGCUGGCAAGUCGCAGCGAGUUUUGUUGAUAUGAAAAUUUGAGCUAAGAAAUCAAAAUUGAGGACCUGUGUUGGUAAUGCGCCGCAUGCUUGCUUGAAUCCAGCAAGCCAUGUUUGCAUGUAAUGCAGCGGCUCCAGGUAGCCAUCCCGCUAGGUUGUUUGAAACUUUGAACAAUUUGGCCAACACAUAUUCCUGGGAAUGUCACCAUGUUCAGCUCGAUGGACUUUCCUCAUCUCCAAGUUUGUAAUGAUAAUCUGAACGAUCAGUGUCGUGUUAUGAGUUGUAACUAACCACAAUGCUCAUGUGCAACAUCUCGUGAGCAACAAUAUAACUAACCGCAAUGCUCAUGUGCAACAUCUCGUGAGUGACAGCAAAACAAUCACGGCAAGAGAGAAUUUGGUGAAGGCGAUUGAUUCUUCAAGUACAGUUCCUAAUUUCUUUGCACCUACCUUUGGAUGAAAUCAUAAUCCAAGUAGACUCAGUCUAGAAAUUCUAGCACCAAAGUCCCAACAGGCCCCAUGGGCAAACACAACAUCAUUUCAACGAACCCCAGUUGGAAACAGUACUCCAAAGCAAGAUUGCUUUUAAAUACUCUAUAUGGCAAGAGAAAAGAAAUUGAUGAUGUAUAAACUUUCAACACAAUCAAAAGGGUUAACAGGACCAACUGCAGUCUGGAGCCAUGAUUGUGAGCAGGUAUUUAAAAGUGUCGAAUCGGAAUGCCACAAAUCAGUUCUAGUUGCAUCUUCUUACUGGACAGCAAACCCAGCGGUUGUGUCUGUCACCCCAUAUGAUUCUCUUAAACAACAAAAUGAGGGAUGUCCAGCCACCGCAUAUGGGUCGCCACACUGCUGUAUUUCCUACUCCCUCCGUUCGGAAUUACUUGUCGCGAAAAUGGAUGUAUCUAGAUGUAUUUUAGUUCUAGAUACAUCCAUUUUCAAGACAAGUAAUUUCGAACGGAGGGAGUAGUAAACAACGGUCAGACACAAUGACGAGGAGUAAUAGUGUAUGCUACACAUGGCGAACGCAAUCCCAUCUUGUUUCUUGGUCCUUGCCUUCAGAGCACAAAGAAAGGUUGACGUGUGGCAAAGUUCUCGGGCUUCAGAAGACACUAUGAACAGCUGGUAUAGUUGCAGUGGUGCAGUCAUAUGUCACAAGCUGAUCUCCUUCGGUAGGCUGAUCUCCAGGAAAUACAAGCUGCCAAUGUGGAACCGCAAAUUAGGUAUGUAGUGAAAAGAAUAAUGUUGCUGCUUAUUUUCCAAGAAUAUAACAGUGUCCUCUGCUUUCAAGGCAUGGGGCUGUGUAUAACAACGUGAUAAUGAAAAGCAAUUGUGUCAAAAUUAGCAUGUGCUGUGAAGUGUGAAGGAAUGUGGGUUAUGCAUUUGUACUGUGAAAAUGCGUAUGGCAGGUUAGAAUUGUGCGAAUAUGGGCAUAACACAGAUGCAUUUGGCUAAUGACUAUUGAUGAUUGCAUUAAUGCAUAUGGCUGCUGACAAAAUUUACUCAGGUCCAUAUCUUUGCUUGGGUGAAGGGAGCAGUAUGUUUAAGGCUAUUGCCAAACACUGCUGCAAACAUAUUAUUAUGCCAUGUUUGGGUAAAGGGACCGGUAUGUUUAAGCCUAUUGUCAAACACUGCUGCGAACAUAUUAUUAUACUAAUGCAACCUUCAUGCCAUAAAUUCACCCUAUAGAUGAUAGAACAUAAGUCAUUUACUCAUUUUCUCUAUGAUGCACUCACUGCCAACAGCAUAUGAUGUCAAUCUGCUACGAUACUAUCAACUACUCCCUCCGUCCCAUAAUAUAAGAGUGUUUUUAACACUACACUAGUGUCAAAAACGCUCUUAUAUUAUGGGAUAGAGGGAGUAGAAUACAAGAACUCAAUUACCACCCUCUAACAUAGAUAUUAGUUGUUUUUUCUCAAAUCACAGAGUAGAAGUGCUUCAGAACUAUACAGACAAGUCCUUUGUUCAGAGACAUCAACAAACCUCGCAGACAUGACGGCCAUGCCAACAAAGACUGCUUUGACAGCUUGCUUCUGGCCAGCAUAGUCAAAUGCUAGAGGUAACAACUCAUGCAAAGUGAGGAAAGCCAUAACACCACCAACUGCGUAAAGACAAAUGGGAAGUCAACAAAUUACUAAGCAUGAAAUAUCACGUUUUAGCUCUACCAACAGACUAACCUGAUGCAAGUAGGCCUUCAAGAAUUUCAGGAUUUAAGUUGCUCGGAAACAAGACAGCUGCAGUAAUCACAUUUGCAUCAGUGGUCGAUAGGUUAUUAAAGAAUAAUCUUACAGAAAGGCUCACAAAAAUAGCAUACCUACAAAAAAUACUCCUAGUGGCUCAGCCAAACCAGAGAGUGUUGCAUAUUUAAAUGCUUGCCAUUUGCUUUGAUAUGCAAGAAAGAAGGAAACACAGAGAAACAUUAUCAGCUGCAAAAAAGUAAGUCCAAUAAUGACAAAAGGAAUAAAAGGAAAUAUUGAGCUAUAAAGAGAAAUUAUAAUUUCCCUUCUUUCUAAAGUACAAUCAUUUCAAACAUGGUCAUGCUUUGUAGGUGCUUUGAAAUCUAAUCGCCCUUUAAGACUGGAAGAACAGAUAAAGCUCACAUAGCCAAGAUCAGAGCCACAUUUGAGAAGUUCUUAGAUUGUAUGUCAUUUAAUGAUAAUGCAUAACAAGCAUGACUUAUAUUUGUGUAACCAACUUAUAACAUUUGGCUACAGAAAACCAAGAAUUCGUAGCACUUGCGGUAGUGGACUCAAGACUCAUUUGUGAAAGCUGGUGUGAACUUCAAACUUCACUAAUUAUUCAUCUCUACAUGGGGAAAACAGGUACCUUUUGGUAGCAAAAUAGAGUGGCAGAGCUACAGCAACCCCCUGAGAAGGUAAAAAGUGUCAACUAGUUAGGAUAGUAGAUCAAAAAGGAAAUUGGCAACAUGUCAGACUGUCAGCAGUCUCGGAUAUACUCCCUCCGUCCCAAAAUAAGUGUAACUGAUUUAGCACAACUUUGUACUAAAUCAGCAACACUUAUUUUGGGACGGUGGGAGUAUGAUUUUGUAGAACUAUGGCUUCUUUUUAAUUUCUCUCCAUAAAAUGGAAUUAUUUAAUUUUCCGUGUAGUAAUUUCUUUCAAAAUAAUAGAUCCUGCUAACACAAUUUGCAAACUCUCCCUUGUACGUAAUGAUAUGUUUGAUGCCAACUAAUUCUACUAUGGUCACUAAGCAUCAAACUGAACUACACAGAUCAAAAGGAAAAAUAUAAAAGUUGGAUAGUGUGGAGACCUAGCAAAUAUCAGAAUACUCGAAACUUCAUGGCAAAACAACACUGCAAAUGAGUUAAGAUUCAUCACGGCCCUCUUGUCUUGCCAUGAAUUAGUUUGCCAUGAGAUUGGGCUUUCAUAUAUCAAACCUAUAUAUUGACUCCCUGGUACACUAUAACAAACAAAUUUUUCAUGGCAGUUGAAUCUUCUUACAAAGAGCACCCCAAGGGCUAUCCUAAGUGCCAAUGGUGCAAUACAUAGCUGCAUAUAAGAAUUCUUAGGCUACUUAACCAGAAAGGCUGAUAGGUUGAUUUAUAUACCUCGGGUAUGUUAUGUAAAGCAAUAGCGAUAGCCAAGUUAACUCCCACGCGAAGACCCUGCAUUUUCGUUAUAACCGAAUAUAAUUAGUGCAAGCUAUAAAUAGUAAUAAAAAAGGUGCAUGAACCCUUGGAAAACCAAAACAACCAAGCUAUGCUCCAGUAAUUUUUCUACUGUAAAAAAAUGCAAGGUGCAAAACGUCCUCUUAGCAAAUCAAUGAUGCCACUACACUGAGAUGAAUACACGACGGCAUUACCUUCACGGAUCCAAGAAAUACUGCCAUUCCCUCAGGAAAAUUGUGCAAGCUAAUUCCUGCAGCUCAGAAUAAGUACAAAGUCAAAACGAUUGUGAUGAAUGUUUGACUUCAGUCAAAGCUAAUAUGCUGAGUAUAUAAAAACAGAGGCAGUAACUUACCAACAGCAGUAAUGAUGCCACUGAAUAAGACUUGCCGGCGAUGUUUUUUCAUCAUAUCUUUGCCUGACCCGUCAUCAUCAGUCUGCUUUCCACAAAAGAAAACCAACUUCUAUUCAGCCCACUUAUUUUGGUAAGAAAACAGAUUUGAUAUGAAUGAUGCUGGAAACAUCCCCGAGGAUUGUUCAUUCCAACCUUUUUCUUGCUUGCAUCAGUUGUUGGGACAAAGGUUGGCUCUGGAAUAAACUUGACAACGAAACCAAAGAAAAGAACUCCCGCAAAGAACUGCAAGAUAUCGCAAUGUGUUAUCUGAGAUAGACUGAAGUUUCAUGACAUGGAUUCUAAAACUGCAAGAAAGAUCCAACCCACCCAAAGGUUAGCCUUCAAGAAGCCAAUGGAGUUGAGUGCAUUGUGUGCCAAGUCUAGAAACGAGAUGCUCAACAUAAGUCCAGCAGCAAAGCCCUGCAUGUAGCAUGAGCAAUACAUAGAACACGAACAAUCGGACAACCAUUACUUUUACUUACCUAAAGGACAGAUAAUCAAUAACUUAAAAAAAAGGCAGUUGAUGAUGACCUGGAGGAGGCCGAGCCUCUUAAGGUCAGGGGAAGGGUUGACGAUCACGAGCAGCGCACCUGAAGACACAAAUCUUGAGCUCAGCUUAAGCGGUCACAAAGAAUCCUCGCAGGAUAUCACGUACUCCCUCCGUUCCAAAAUAUAGUGCGCCCGCGCUUUUCAAGGUUCAACUUACUUUUGCUCCCGCCGCAGUAAUUUAUGGUCAAAGUUGAAGCACGGGAACCGAGGACGCACUAUAUUUUGGAAUGGAGGGAGUACAAGCAUCAGAAACUGCUGACUAGCACGUGGAGGCGCAUUAGGCAACCGUGUUAGGCCAACAAGCAAGGUUUGCCGUUACAACCUGAGCGUCAUAAAAACAAUAGGAAAGCCAUAACCUCGGCGUGGAACUAGCUUUGGCGCUCUGUAAAUCAGUCUGACAGGCCCCUGGACUACCAGCUUCAUCUAUCUAUGCAUUCUGAUGAAUGUUGGGCUGCGGCGAUUGAUGACUAGUUGUCCUGCCUGGGUUCAUGUAACACGGCACAAAACUCCGUCUCUUUGCAAAUAGCAAGGCACUGGGUUCUUUUCUAAUAAUUGUGUAACACGACUGAACAAGAAGAUGCUAGAAUUAUCCCCGAAAAGGCCGCGCAAACGCUGAAAAUCCUCAAGUCAGGCGACAGACACACGGUGGCGGUCAAGCCGGCAGCACGCAGCCGGGUUGGGGCUCGGGGGGAGAGAAUCAGAAUCUGUGGCGGGAUGGCGCGUACCGAGGGAGGUGCUGAGGCCGCCGACGAAGGAGAGGGCGAGCGCCACCAGCACGUGCUGCUCCAUCUCCGCCGCGCUCGCGCUCGCGCUCGCGCCUAGGGUUUGAGGGGCCGCCGGCCGAGGAGCGGAGAGAGGGGAGGCGAGGAGAGGGAGAUACGACUAGUGGAGCGGAGGGAUCAUGAGGGAGGGAGGAUGGGGAUGGGUUGGAGGGAGGGAGGAAUAGGGGAACUGCUUCCCAAUCACGAACUGCUCAACUGCCUUUGUGGCAUUUCAAUCUAUUUGUAGCGAAUACUGAUAUAAAUAAAGGCAUAUUGAAAUACUAGUGAAAAUCGUGCCACUACUGGCCUGUGUCUGCGUGGCAUGAAUCAUGGUGCUCACUGCACCUUCUCCCACGACCAUUUUUCUCGAAUUCUUCUUUUUUAUUUCCCUGGUCUUGGAGGCAAUCGAUUUAUAUAUCUUCUCAAAGACCAGAUUUCGAAAAAGAUAAUCUUCUCAAAGAUUCCAACCCAAACGGCUGCCACAAGCCAAUCAAGUAUCCGAUGCCAUAUCAAUCAAAAGAAAAAUGAAAGAAGAGACCAAGGCAGGCAGUACCAACAGCUGGAAUAGAAUAGAAUAGAAUCACAACAAAUAUCAUUCAAUUUGUUCGAAUGAAAUGAUAACACGGCGCCAUUGGCCACGGGUUACAGACGCGGAUUGGGUUGAGUUUACCAAACGGGUCGAAAAGAGGAAUUACAUGUAGUAGUGCCGAUAAAUGUGCGGCGUAAUCAUCAUAGAGUGGUCAUUCGUUGAUCGGUGGAUUGAAUUGAAAUUAAAUUAAAUUUAAAUCAAAUCAACCGACGCGUCUGCGUGGCGCCGCGUGGGAGCGUGCGCGUCUCAGUGCAGGUAGUAGGCGACGAGGGAGACGAGGAGCGCGGCGGCGCCGGGCGCGCCGGCGAUGGCGCCGCUGGUGGCCGGGGCUCCGGCGGCUGCUCCGGCAGUCGCGCCGGCGGCCGCGCCGGUCGCGCCGGGGGACUCGGCCGGCGCCUCGGCGGCCGGGGUGGUCGCCGCGACCAGGGAGGCGGAGGCCACCAGGGCGAUCAGCACGGCGCAGGCGAUCUUCUUCAUCUCCAUGGCUUCUGCCUCUCUCUCCUCGCGGGUACGGUACGGUUGCACGGGGCCUGCGCAAAAGAAACAAACAGCAAGCGGCUAGGCGGUCGAGGAGGAGGGGGAGAGGUCGGCCGGCGAGGCGCGGUUUAUUCCGGUGGUGGGAGCGGGGCGGGGGGAGGGCGGCUCGGUCGCUCUCUGCAAGGCCUGGGAGAGGGUGGGGUGGCGCGGCGCCGCGUUUUGUAGGGCGCGCGAGCGGCCAUGAGAGGGCCUCGCCUGCCCGUCGGUUGCCGCCCUGCCCAAAUUAGCUUCCGUACGGAUGGCCAUUAGCGCGCGGCGGGAGCAUGCGGACGACAUUGCCUUAC
rnacentral:lncRNA from 1 species